rnacentral:rRNA from 1 species
UGCGUAGGUGGUGGGGUAAGUCGGAUGUGAAAUCUCCGAGCUCAACUCGGAAAUGGCAUUGGAAACUACCCUGCUAGAGGGUCGGAGGGGGGACUGGAAUGCUUGGUGUAGCAGUGAAAUGCGUAGAUAUCAAGCGGAACACCAGUGGCGAAGGCGAGUCCCUGGACGACUCCUGACACUGAGGCACGAAAGCUGGGAGCAAACA